rnacentral:rRNA from 1 species
GUGGGGAAUUUUGGACAAUGGGGGCAACCCUGAUCCAGCAAUGCCGCGUGUGUGAAGAAGGCCUUCGGGUUGUAAAGCACUUUUGUCCGGAAAGAAAACGUUCUGGUUAAUACCUGGGGCGGAUGACGGUACCGGAAGAAUAAGCACCGGCUAACUACGUGCCAGCAGCCGCGGUAAUACGUAGGGUGCGAGCGUUAAUCGGAAUUACUGGGCGUAAAGCGUGCGCAGGCGGUUUUGUAAGACAGGCGUGAAAUCCCCGAGCUCAACUUGGGAAUUGCGCUUGUGACUGCAAGGCUAGAGUAUGUCAGAGGGGGGUAGAAUUCCACGUGUAGCAGUGAAAUGCGUAGAGAUGUGGAGGAAUACCGAUGGCGAAGGCAGCCCCCUGGGACGUCACUGACGCUCAUGCACGAAAGCGUGGGGAGCAA